GACGAACGCUGGCGGCGUGCCUAAUACAUGCAAGUCGAGCGGACAGAAGGGAGCUUGCUCCCGGAAGUUAGCGGCGGACGGGUGAGUAACACGUGGGCAACCUACCCUGUAGAUCGGGAUAACAUCGAGAAACCGGUGCUAAUACCGGAUAAUCAUUUAAAGUGCAUGCUUCGAAUGUAAAAGAUGGCUCCGGCUAUCACUACGGGAGGGGCCCGCGGCGCAUUAGCUGGUUGGUAAGGUAAUGGCUUACCAAGGAAACGAUGCGUAGCCGACCUGAGAGGGUGAUCGGCCACACUGGGACUGAGACACGGCCCAGACUCCUACGGGAGGCAGCAGUAGGAAAUCUUCCGCAAUGGACGAAAGUCUGACGGAGCAACGCCGCGUGAGUGAUGAAGGUUUUCGGAUCGUAAAGCUCUGUUGUUAGGGAAGAACAAGUGCCGUUUGAAUAAGGCGGCACCUUGACGGUACCUAACCAGAAAGCCACGGCUAACUACGUGCCAGCAGCCGCCGUAACAC
rnacentral:rRNA from 1 species